UAUGGCAAGGAGAAAACUAAGCUUGGGCCUUAAUUAGAGGCCCAUGGUAGAAACACCAAAACGAACAGUCCUCACCUCCUACCUCUUCACUUCGCGUUUCAGCAAACUGAAGAACAAACCAGGUCGCGACGACCGCACUGGAUUUUGGCACCGGCGGCAUUUCAUCCUAACCUCCGCGUCCAGCAUCUUCACGAGGUGAAGAUCAAGUUGCGACGGCGAAUCUAGCCGCGCCAGAUUUCGUCACUGGCGGCGGCGAUUCCAGCCUUCGCGCCACUCUCUGUCUCUGCUCACCUAACCGAAACACAACCUCUCACCUAAAUGAAUUGAUGUUACCGCACAAUGGCUCUUAGACGGAAUGCACCGAAUGUAGAAUGGAAACAACAAGAGAUAUAAUUACGAGCGUUACACCACCUCACACGAAUCAAUCAAUGCGAAGAGAAAUGAGAGCCUACCGGCAAUGGCGAAGGCGGAGGAUUCGUCGGCGAUGCCGAAUUCGAACUCAGAACGGUUGCGGUGCGGUGAGUUGAAGAGGUUGAAGAUUCGCCGAUGACGAUGGGAGGAAAAGUUUAUUAUGGUGGAAGCGAAGGAAAACUUCUAGGAAAGAAAGAAUUCUCGAGCGAACCCAAGCUACGCUCUACAAUCCUGUAUUUAUAGAAUUUCUUGGAAUGAAUUGGUGUGGCUCGUUGCCGUUUUGGUGCGCUUUGAUGCCGUAGUUGUUGUCGUUCAUUCAGAUCCAUUUCCCAUUUGCCGUUUUCCACUUUGGUUCGCAACUUUGAGAGCUGUUGUUUUGUACUUGGCUUUUAGCUUGUGUAGCGGUUGUGGAGUUUUGGAAGUUGUUGUUGUCGAAGCACGACUUGGUGCAGCAGCUCACGUACUACUUUUUGGCAUUGUUGUUGCAGUUGCCUGGGUAUACGUUCGUUCACAUGUACUUUCCUUGUUUGAAGCCUUUUUGCUAGCUUGUUGUGGUGGCUUUUUCAUGUGGUAGCUUAUUGGCUUAGCUUCUUUUCACGUGGCUUGGUGUAGUUCACGCUUGUACUGGCUUUGUUAGCAGCUUUUCCAUGUGGUAGCAUAUUGGCUUAUGCAGCUCAUUAUUGGAAGUUGCGCUUGUUUAACUAUGGCUUGUUGCCGUUUAGCUUCUCUUGGAGUCGUUUCCAUUUGCAUUUCCACUGCAGCUUUUGAAGCUUGUUGGAGAAUUGUAAGUUAUUAUUGUUUAAUGGAAAAUGAUGACUCAAUAAAAAAUGGUUAUUAUUGUUUAAUGGAAAAUGAUGACUCAAUAAAAAAUGGUUAUGGAUUUAAAA